rnacentral:rRNA from 1 species
UACGUAGGGUGCGAGCGUUGUCCGGAAUUAUUGGGCGUAAAGGGCUCGUAGGCGGUUUGUCGCGUCGGGAGUGAAAACCUUGGGCUUAACUCAGGGCUUGCUUUCGAUACGGGCAGACUAGAGGUAUGCAGGGGAGAACGGAAUUCCUGGUGUAGCGGUGAAAUGCGCAGAUAUCAGGAGGAACACCUAUGGCGAAGGCAGCUCUCUGGGACGGUACUGACGCUGAGACGCGAAAGCGUGGGGAGCGAACAGG